rnacentral:rRNA from 1 species
CCUACGGGAGGCUGCAGUGGGGAAUAUUGCACAAUGGGCGCAAGCCUGAUGCAGCCAUGCCGCGUGUGUGAAGAAGGCCUUCGGGUUGUAAAGCACUUUCAGCGGGGAGGAAGGCGGUGAGGUUAAUAACCUCAUCGAUUGACGUUACCCGCAGAAGAAGCACCGGCUAACUCCGUGCCAGCAGCCGCGGUAAUACGGAGGGUGCAAGCGUUAAUCGGAAUUACUGGGCGUAAAGCGCACGCAGGCGGUCUGUCAAGUCGGAUGUGAAAUCCCCGGGCUCAACCUGGGAACUGCAUUCGAAACUGGCAGGCUAGAGUCUUGUAGAGGGGGGUAGAAUUCCAGGUGUAGCGGUGAAAUGCGUAGAGAUCUGGAGGAAUACCGGUGGCGAAGGCGGCCCCCUGGACAAAGACUAACGCUCAGGUGCGAAAGCGUGGGGAGCAAACAGGAUUAGAUACCCGUGUAGUC